UGCGCGCACCACUUUAUCGUUCGUCCAUGAAUCUUUCGCGUUAAAUUCGUGGACAGCCCCUCGAGCACACGUCGACAGCUCAUUUAUCGCGUCACUCUCGUUUUGAAAUACCGAUUCGUGCUUCGCUCGAGUCUACUUUAGACGAUGCUUACGUGUCUUGUACCGUUAACGAGAAAAGUAACCAAGUAAUUUCGUACGCAAGUUUGUUUAUUCUUCAUACAUAUAUCUGCUUGCUCUUUGGUCAGACAAAACAAAUGACCACAACGAUACUCGGCCGUUUAACCAGAAGAUUAACCAUGCAAUUUCUAAAGAGAUUACAUGCGUACAGAGAAAUGUUAGGUACGUUUCGAGAAUCUUAACACGAUUUAUAUUCGUGUAGCAGGAACUUAUAAGUGCUGUGAUUUGAGUUGCCAAAGGAAGUGUUGUUAACCUCCAAGUUUUUCAAACUGAUUGAAAACAUCUCGCGUCUCGCACCGACAGUACUUUAUCCAUUUCACAUCAGUCAUCCUGCCGGAUUGUAGAUAUAGAAGAAAAACAAUAUCGAAGAUCGAUAUUUCUUUUUUCAGAAUCAAUGGUCAUUAAAGAGCUAUUCAGAAUCCAGGAAGCCAUGUCUCUUCCUCCUGACAUGCGACCUAAACAAAGUUCCGUCGGAGUUCAGUCCCGAAAAUCCCGCAGAGCCAGCCAGCCGGGACGAUUUUCUUCCCGCGGGUCUCGCGACUCGCCAUGGCAAAACUUUUUGGGAUAAUGUUGUGUGCCUUCUUCCGUAGCAUAGGGGAUGAAAAGAAGGAUGCCAACGGCCUAUUAAAGUUGUUAUCUUAUCGCGGCAGUCUGUCACCCCUCGUCUUCGACGCUUCGUCGCGCACGAGCCGCUCAAAUGAUUCUGGGCGCAAUAUAUCCUCGUCAUCGGUCACCAUCGUCAUCAUUUCAUCUCAAAAGAAAAGCUUGGUCUACGGGGAGGCUGCUUCUUUUCUUUGUCCGAAAUAGUGAGAAGGGCUUUGUGAUGGUUUUUUUUUCAACACCGCAUCUUAUGUCUCUGAUGACGUUCACAAAUGCGCAGAGUAUUAACGAUUGGAAUUCAGUUAGAGAAAUUCGUUCGUAACGAGGAACGGAAAUUGGAAUUGAGAGAAAAGUUCAUUCUGGACAUUGAAUACGGUAAGAGCGAACACGUGUCUAUUGAUUUGGAUGGUAGUGUAUCCUCAGACGAAUGAAAACAUUUUGAGACAGUACUUAUCAGUGAUGUUAUUUUACGUACAGCGAAUUGAGAUCUCAAUCGGACCAAGUGGAAGGUCAUUCUUAAGAGUGCUACGGAGUCUUUCAUUAUUACCUAAAAGAAUUUGCCGACAAGACUCUACGUUUCUGUAUAACUUUGUGCAAUUGAACAUACGGAUACGGCCUUAUGAUAAGGGGACAGUAAACGAGUCCUUGGAAUCUAUUUCCAUCUUGAGUCAAAAAUAUAAAAGACAAAGAUCUUGUUAUAUGACAUGAAAUUUCUCAUUCGAAUCACGUUUUACUUAAAUUUAUCAGAUUCCAUGUAAGUAGGUAUGUCUAUAUGAUAGAUUACUAAUAAAAUUUUAUUUUUAUAAGGUCA